ACGGCGAGUGAAGCGGCAACAGCUCAAAUUUGAAAUCUGGCCGUUUACGGUCCGAGUUGUAAUUUGUAGAGGAUGUUUUGGGUACCGCCACGGUUUAAAUUUCUUGGAACAGAAUGUCAGAGAGGGUGAGAGUCCCGUCUUGGACCGCGGUAGGGCCUGUGUAAAACUCCUUCGACGAGUCGACUUGUUUGGGAAUGCAGGUCAAAAUGGGUGGUAAAUUUCAUCUAAAGCUAAAUAUUGGCCAGAGACCGAUAGCGCACAAGUAGAGUGAUCGAAAGAUGAAAAGCACUUUGAAAAGAGAGUUAAACAGUAUGUGAAAUUGUUGAAAGGGAAGCGCUGGCAACCAGACUCGUGCGCGGGGUUCCCCCUUGCUUCUGCUUGGGUCACUUCCCCGUGUCCGGGCCAUCAUCAGUUUCGGGGGCCGGUUAAAGGCCUUGGGAAUGUAUCCACGCCUUCGGGGGUGGACUUAUAGCCCAGGGUGUCAUGCGGCCACCCGGGACUGAGGAACGCGCUUCGGCGAGGAUGAUGGCGUAAUGGUUGUCAGCGGCCCGUCUUGAAACACGGACCAAGGAGUCUAACAUCUAUGCGAGUGUUCGGGUGUCAAACCCUUGCGCGGAAUGAAAGUGAACGGAGGUAGGAAGGCUUAAGCCUGCACUAUCGACCGAUCCUGAUGUCUUCGGAUGGAUUUGAGUAAGAGCAUAGCUGUUGGGACCCGAAAGAUGGUGAACUAUGCGUGAAUAGGGUGAAGCCAGAGGAAACUCUGGUGGAGGCUCGCAGCGGUUCUGACGUGCAAAUCGAUCGUCAAAUUUGCGUAUAGGGGCGAAAGAC
rnacentral:rRNA from 1 species